AUGGUAAUGAACACAAGGGAGCAUCGGGUGAAUUGGUUGGAAGAAAUUUCAGGGGCUUCUUCGUUGGAAGCUAGCAGUAAGGCGUGGACUGAUCUUUGGCAUAUCAAAGUACCAUCGAAGCUUCGGGUUUUUCUUUGGCGUCUGGCACGGCAGUUGAUCCCCUCGAUGGAUCUCCUUCAUCACCGAAAUAUGUCGACAACAAAGGCGUGUACCUUAUGUGGGAGGGACGAUUCUUGGAGACAUGCACUACUAGAUUGUACCAUGUCAAGAUGCAUAUGGGUUUUGUCUGAGGAGGGUCUUGUGGAGCAGAUGAGCAUUAAUAAUGAGCCAAAUGCUAGGAACUGGCUUUUUGCACUGCAUGAUAAGCUUUCACAGCAGGAUUUUGUGCUAAUGGUGGUCUCCUUAUGGGCGGUUUGGAGAGCCAGACGGAAAGCGAUCUAUGAAGAUGUCUUCCAGAGUCCACAAGCUACUAACAGCUUCAUUCGAUCUUACAUAGCAGACUUGAAAGCCCUCGAAAGACCAGCAAGGGACGAUCCAGGGAGACCUGUUCAUCGCCCGCGUCAAUGGAUCAAGCCUCCGGCGUUGUCUUUCAAGAUAAACGUUGACGCUGCCGUGUCGCAGAAUAGAGGACGAGGAGUUGCGGCCGCUUUAUGCCGGGAUCACAAUGGAGUUUUUCAGGGAGCAUCGGUCAUUGUUAUCAAGGGAGUACAUGACCCUCCCACUCUUGAAGCUUUAUCGAUCCGUGAAGCUCUGGCCCUU
rnacentral:rRNA from 1 species